rnacentral:tRNA from 1 species
GGAUGUGGCUCAGUGGCAAAGCAUUUGCCUAGCAAGUGUCAGGACUUGGGUUCAAGUCUCAGCACCA